rnacentral:lncRNA from 1 species
CCUUGGAUUUGAUUGUGACGUUGAUCUACUUGCUUCUUUCAACUACACAACUUCUUGUCGCAGACUCUGAACUUCUUCUAUAGGCGUAGGCAUAGUAUCUCCAUGAUUCACGUUAGAAAUACGUGAGAUUUCUACUUUUAGAGUGUUGACAAGCUCAUUAAAAUCUGCUAUAGUUGCAAAUCUAUUCUCACUUCCAUUGAGAGUAGCAUCCAUAAUCUUUCCUUCCAUAGACAACUCAAACGAAUUCAAAAGUUAAAUUAGAGGGAGAUAAUCCACAACUUCUAAAAAUAAAUUCCAUAAAGCGGAGUAAUCCUCUCUCUUUAAGAAAAAGAUCAGUGUUAGAAAACAAAAUUUUUUGUUUAAAGGUGGAUAGUCCGCAACCUUCAAAA